GAUGAACGCUGGCGGCGUGCCUAAUACAUGCAAGUCGUACGGAAAGGCCCUUCGGGGUACUCGAGUGGCGGACGGCUGAGUAACGCGUGGGAACGUGCCCCAAAGUGAGGGAUAACGCACCGAAAGGUGUGCUAAUACCGCAUAUGGUCUUCGGAUUAAAGCUUCGGCGCUUUGGGAGCGGCCCGCGUACGCUUAGAUAGUUGGUGAGGUAAUGGCUCACCAAGUCGACGAUCGUUAGCUGGUCUGAGAGGAUGGUCAGCCAGACAGGGACUGAGACACGGCCCAGACUCCUACGGGAGGCAGCAGUAAGGAAUCUUCCACAAUGGGGGCAACCCUGAUGGAGCAACGCGGCGUGCAGGAUGAAGGUUUUCGGAUCGUAAACUGCUUUUAUAAGUGAAGAAUAUGACGGUAACUUAUGAAUAAGCAUCGGCUAACUACGUGCCAGCAGCUGCCGUAA
rnacentral:rRNA from 1 species